rnacentral:scRNA from 2 species
AGCUAGGCGACAUCUCGUCUUUUGUCCGUGCC